UACAGAGGGUGCAAGCGUUAAUCGGAAUUACUGGGCGUAAAGGGCGCGUAGGUGGAAUAAUAAGUUGGAUGUGAAAUCCCCGGGCUUAACCUGGGAACGCCAUCCAAAACUGUUAAUCUAGAGUAUAGUAGAGGGAAGUGGAAUUUCCGGUGUAGCGGUGAAAUGCGUAGAUAUCGGAAGGAACACCAGUGGCGAAGGCGGCUUCCUGGACUAAUACUGACACUGAGGCGCGAGAGCGUGGGGAGCAAACAGG
rnacentral:rRNA from 1 species